CGUUGAUCAGCAGAGCACUCACCAGGAAGAAGGAACCUGUGGAAGAAGAUGUUAGGUAGAAGGUGAAGUUUCAAGUCCAGUUGGUCCUGCCAGCUGCCAUGUUGUGAAUAUGGAGAAGCCAGAAUGGGGAGGAACUCAGGCCUGCCAACAGCUGCAUGAGUGAGCCUGGAAGCAGAUCCUCCAGCCUCAGUAGACCCUUGAGAUAACUGCAAUCUCACGAGAGACCUCGAACCAGAGUGCUGUGCUAGAGUUGGAUUUCAGCCACAGCUUGUUCAUGUUCUUGACCUCUUUUGUGCUAUCCACAACCUGCCCGAUCACAAGCUUCAACCCUGCCUGUUGAGCCUCAGAAAAAUAGAGAAAUGGAGCACAAGUAAUUGUUUACCCUGGGCACGUGGACAAGGUCUGAUACAUUGUCUUUGGAUGAACAGGCUUCAUAUCUUCCUUACC
rnacentral:lncRNA from 1 species